rnacentral:rRNA from 1 species
GACGAACGCUGGCGGCGUGCUUAACACAUGCAAGUCGAACGGAAAGGCCCUGCUUUUGUGGGGUGCUCGAGUGGCGAACGGGUGAGUAACACGUGAGUAACCUGCCCUUGACUUUGGGAUAACUUCAGGAAACUGGGUCUAAUACCGGAUAGGAGCUCCUGCUGCAUGGUGGGGGUUGGAAAGUUUCGGCGGUUGGGGAUGGACUCGCGGCUUAUCAGCUUGUUGGUGGGGUGGUGGCUUACCAAGGCUUUGACGGGUAGCCGGCCUGAGGGGGUGACCGGCCACAUGGGGACUGAGAUACGGCCCAGACGACUACGGGAGGCAGCAGUGGGGAAGAUUGCACAACGGGCGGAAGCCGGAUGCAGCAACGACGCGGGCGGGAUGACGGCCUUCGGGUUGUAAACCGCUUUCGCCUGUGACGAAGCGUGAGUGACGGUAAUGGGUAAAGAAGCACCGGCUAACUACGUG